GAUGAACGCUGGCGGCGUGCCUAAUACAUGCAAGUCGAGCGAACAGACGAGGAGCUUGCUCCUCUGACGUUAGCGGCGGACGGGUGAGUAACACGUGGAUAACCUACCUAUAAGACUGGGAUAACUUCGGGAAACCGGAGCUAAUACCGGAUAAUAUAUUGAACCGCAUGGUUCAAUAGUGAAAGACGGUUUUGCUGUCACUUAUAGAUGGAUCCGCGCCGCAUUAGCUAGUUGGUAAGGUAACGGCUUACCAAGGCAACGAUGCGUAGCCGACCUGAGAGGGUGAUCGGCCACACUGGAACUGAGACACGUUCCAGACUCCUACGGGAGGCAGCAGUAGGGAAUCUUCCGCAAAGGGCGAAAGCCUGACGGAGCAACGCCGCGUGAGUGAUGAAGGUCUUCGGAUCGUAAAACUCUGUUAUUAGGGAAGAACAAAUGUGUAAGUAACUAUGCACGUCUUGACGGUACCUAAUCAGAAAGCCACGGCUAACUACGUG
rnacentral:rRNA from 1 species